rnacentral:rRNA from 1 species
CAGCCGCCGCGGGAAUACAGAGGGUGCAAGCGUUAAUCGGAGUUACUGGGCGUAAAGGGCGCGUAGGCGGCGAUCAAAGUCAGGCGUGAAAUUCCUGGGCUCAACCUGGGGGCUGCGCUUGAUACUUGGUUGCUUGAGUGGGGAAGAGGGUCGUGGAAUUCCCAGUGUAGAGGUGAAAUUCGUAGAUAUUGGGAAGAACACCGGUGGCGAAGGCGGCGACCUGGUCCUUGACUGACGCUGAGGCGCGAAAGCGUGGGGAGCAAACAGGAUUAGAUACCCCAGUAGUCCCUGUCUCUUAUAC